UACGAAGGGGGCUAGCGUUGCUCGGAAUUACUGGGCGUAAAGCGUGCGCAGGCGGUCUGUUAAGACCGAUGUGAAAUCCCCGGGCUUAACCUGGGAACUGCAUUGGUGACUGCAUCGCUAGAGUAUGGCAGAGGGGGGUGGAAUUCCACGUGUAGCAGUGAAAUGCGUAGGGAUGUGGAGGAACACCGAUGGCGAAGGCAGCCCCCUGGGCCAAUACUGACGCUCAUGCACGAAAGCGUGGGGAGCAAACAGG
rnacentral:rRNA from 1 species